AGUGUAGGAUGCCCUUUUCCAUUUUUUGGAAAUGUUGUCAAAUGAUGCUGAAAUUAUCAAAAAUUCUGGCCUGAUGCUUGGUCCAACCCUUAUCUGGCUGUGGUGCCUCCAUCAACCUGACGCUCUUUAGUAACCGGUCCAAGUCUUUGUAUGGAGGCCACCAUGAGUGGCCAUCUGAGUACCAGGAUUUUGCUACAGGACCGGUACUCCCUUCUCCGAAGAACUCCACUAUCAGAAAUGUGUUGGUCCUGAGAUGCCAUCAACUAGAUGAAUACCAAGUUCUGAGGAUGGAAUGGGAUAAUCAAAAAAAGGUUCAUGAUUGUUGAAGGUAGUGUAGGCC